rnacentral:lncRNA from 1 species
CAAGCAAAUAGAGUUUUUGAAAAGAGGGAGAGAAUUGAAAUUUAAGAAAUGGGAGGAGAUGAAGAGACUAUCUUAGACAAAAAAUUAAAUGUUAAGAGUUGAAAAGAUAUGAAAAAUGUCAUAUAGAAACCCCUUUUUCCUUUGGACUUUGGCAAUCAAUAAGCAAUAAGCAAUGAGAAAUAUCCAAGCAUCAUAUGAAGAUCAAGGCAUCAAAUAAAGAUGGCCAUAAUAUCCAAACAAG